rnacentral:rRNA from 1 species
AGAGCGAACGCUGGCGGCAGGCUUAACACAUGCAAGUCGAGCGGGCGUAGCAAUACGUCAGCGGCAGACGGGUGAGUAACGCGUGGGAACGUACCUUUUGGUUCGGAACAACACAGGGAAACUUGUGCUAAUACCGGAUAAGCCCUUACGGGGAAAGAUUUAUCGCCGAAAGAUCGGCCCGCGUCUGAUUAGCUAGUUGGUGAGGUAACGGCUCACCAAGGCGACGAUCAGUAGCUGGUCUGAGAGGAUGAUCAGCCACAUUGGGACUGAGACACGGCCCAAACUCCUACGGGAGGCAGCAGUGGGGAAUAUUGGACAAUGGGCGCAAGCCUGAUCCAGCCAUGCCGCGUGAGUGAUGAAGGCCCUAGGGUUGUAAAGCUCUUUUGUGCGGGAAGAUAAUGACGGUACCGCAAGAAUAAGCCCCGGCUAACUUCGUGCCAGCAGCCGC